rnacentral:lncRNA from 1 species
UACACGGGGGGCUCUGGUGUAGGAGACAGUAAGCUCUGUGCUCAUCCGCUUUCCGAGUCUCAUCCCGCAACAUGGAGUUCCUGCUCACGCUGUGGCCACCAUCAUCGGCAAUUAACACAAAGGUUAGAGGACCCCAGAGACAACUGGGGUGAUGCCACAGUUCAAAACCUUGGCUUUGCUAGUCAGACAGAAGCCCAGUUUCUUUAACCUACCGUAAUUCUAUGUGCAUCAUAACUAUAUACUCCACACCCAGUGAAACCUGUGGAGAAAAACAGAAGACACUUCUUCAAAUUUUAAGGUGAUUCUGGAGGUGUUUAUCUUAGCUAAAGGCAGUGAAAUCAAACCGUAUAUUGAGAGUGAAAAUAUUCUAUUUUUCCAAAUCAAUUCAACAAAGUGCUUAUCUCACAGGAGAAAAAUACAGUGAUGAGUAGCUAGGAACUACCAAAGUUCCCAUCACAAGUGCCCAGUGCUCCAUGUUGGGGGUGCAGAACAUUAGGCUGAACCAAGGGGGUUGACACUGGGGGGGGCAAGAGUUUGAGAAGAAAUGAAGGUGUAUUGGAGUUUUAUACUGGGCAGAGAUAAGUGCUACAGAGAAAGUUAGAAGAGAUUUGGCCAUUUGAGUAGAAAUAUCUACUUUCUAAUAUGCCUUAAAAAGUUGACAAACAGGAAACCUUCAAGGGAACUCUUCUUUGAGGGCUGCCAUAGAGAAAUUCAUUUUGAAUAUAAAAUGAAAGAACAAAUAUGACAACAACAGUAACAGCCUUAAAGAGAUUCCCUAGUCUAUGGGGAUGAAAUACCGUCAGCCCCCCAUAUCCAUGCAUUCUGCAUUCUGGAUUCAACCAUUCCUGGAUAAAGGUAUUCAAAAAUGAAUUUUAGAAAUGACAAUACAAUAGCAAAAAUGAGAAAUACUAUAGUAUAACAACUAUUUUCAUGGCAUUUACAUUGUGUGAGGUAUUAUAAGUAAUGUAGAGAUGAUUCAAAGUAUAUGGGAGAAUGUGUGUAAGUCCUAUGCAAACACUAUUAAGAUUUUUUUAUCAGGG